GAUGAAGAACGUAGCGAAAUGCGAUAAGUAAUGUGAAUUGCAGAGUUUUGUGAAUCAUCGAAUCUUUGAACGCAUAUUGCGCCCCUCGGUAUCCCGACGGGCAUGCCUGUCCGAGCGUCGUUGCAAUCCAUCGAGUGACCUUUCUCUCGGUCUUGGGCGCCGUCCCCGACGUGCCGAUCCUACGGGGGAGGCGCGGAGGACGGGCCCCAAAGCCCCCGGCGGCCUCGAGCCCGCGCCGGAGCGUCUCGAAAAUCGCUCCGCGCGCCGGGCCCGGGACCACGCCGGCAAGCAACAUCCAAACCGUCUGACCUCGGAUCAGGUAGGGCUACACGCUGAACUUAAGCAUAUCAAUAAGCGGAGGA
rnacentral:misc_RNA from 1 species